AGAGUUUGAUCAUGGCUCAGGAUGAACGCUGGCGGUCUGCUUAACACAUGCAAGUCGAACGGAGUAGAAAUACUUAGUGGCGGACGGGUGAGUAACGCGUGAGAAUCUGCCUUCAGGACGGAGACAACAGUUGGAAACGACUGCUAAGCCCCGAUGAACCGAAAGGGAAAAUAUUUAUAGCCUGAAGAUGAGCUCGCGUCCGAUUAGCUAGUUGGGGGGGUAAAGGCCCACCAAGGCGACGAUCGGUAGCUGGUCUGAGAGGACGAUCAGCCACACUGGGACUGAGACACGGCCCAGACUCCUACGGGAGGCAGCAGUGGGGAAUUUUCCGCAAUGGGCGAAAGCCUGACGGAGCAAGACCGCGUGGGGGAAGAAGGCUCUUGGGUUGUAAACCCCUUUUCUCUGGGAAGAAAGUUGUGAAAGCAACCUGACGGUACCAGAGGAAUCAGCAUCGGCUAACUCCGUGCCAGCAGCCGCGGUAAUACGGAGGAUGCAAGCGUUAUCCGGAAUUAUUGGGCGUAAAGCGUCCGCAGGUGGCACUUCAAGUCUGCUGUCAAAGACCGGGGCUUAACCCUGGAAAGGCAGUGGAAACUGAAGCGCUAGAGUGUGGCAGGGGUAGAGGGAAUUCCUGGUGUAGCGGUGAAAUGCGUAGAGAUCAGGAAGAACAUCGGUGGCGAAGGCGCUCUGCUGGACCAUAACUGACACUCAGGGACGAAAGCUAGGGGAGCGAAUGGGAUUAGAUACCCCCGUAGUCC
rnacentral:rRNA from 1 species